rnacentral:rRNA from 1 species
UACGGAGGGGACUAGCGUUGUUCGGAAUUACUGGGCGUAAAGCGCACGUAGGCGGAUUUGUAAGUCAGGGGUGAAAUCCCGGGGCUCAACCUCGGAACUGCCUUUGAUACUGCAAAUCUCGAGUCCGGAAGAGGUGAGUGGAAUUCCUAGUGUAGAGGUGAAAUUCGUAGAUAUUAGGAAGAACACCUGAGGCGAAGGCGGGUUGCUGGGCUGACACUGACGCUGAUGCGCGAAAGCCAGGGGAGCGAACGGG